rnacentral:tmRNA from 3 species
GGGGAUGUAAAGGUUUCGACGGGGAUUGGGAACCUUGGUAAGCGAGCAGCGGUGCGGAACCGCUAUAAAAUCCGCAAACUUAAAAGUAAACGACAACAAUAAAGUUGCGUACGCAGCCUAAUUAGGCUGCCGUCCUGCCCGGGAGCACCACGGCCUGGGACAGGGCGUCGAUGAGUGGUGAACGUGAACACGGUUACGCCUUUCCCCGUGUCACGGCUUAAAGGCUACCGAACCGCGAAGCCUGCCGAUCGGCGGCGCGGUGAGGGAAUCUGAAACGACCGGCUGCGCUCGGAGAAAACCUUGGCAAACGAUUUUCGGACAGGGGUUCGAUUCCCCUCAUCUCCACCA